rnacentral:tRNA from 1 species
CAUCAAAUGGCUGAAGUAAGUAAUGGUCUCUUAAACCAAAGGAUAAUAUUUUAACAAAUAUUUUUGAUGA